AGCGCGCGCCGCCUCACGCCGGCUCUGCCCUCAGGGAAAGGGGAGCGCGGCGCCCUUAUCCGUGGGGGAAAAAAAAAAAAAAAAGGGCUCCGGCGUGUUAGAAAGGGAAGGUUUUUCCUCACGUUAAACUCCCCGCCGGCUAUAGGUGCCGUUGCACCUGUUGGGAGGGGCCUGAGGGCACCGCACAGCGCGGGGCGGGGCGAGUGUGGGGCUUCGCCCCGGGAAUGCCGUGGGAAGUCCGCUUUCGGAGUUCCUUUAGGUGCGUUCCGCCGUACGAAAGCGCUUUUGAACCUAAAAAUUACACUUUCCAGGGAUACCAGGGAAGGAGCUGAGAUUGGCAGUGGCUAUCAACUGGAGGAAGCUCUGGGAGAGGUUUACAGAUGAGAUGUUUCUCAGUCCUGACUUCCGAAGGCUCAGUGUGCUCCUAAGAUCCGAGGAUCCUGUCUGCCAUCAGUUUUUGGAAGCAUCUAAAGGACAACUGGGAACCGCAGUGCUGUCUGGAGAACUGGCAGGUUUCUCAGCAGGAAGAUUGGCCUCUUUACACUGGAAGACCUCUGUCUGUGGUGUUUGUAUUUCCACUUGUUUUUGACAAGCUGAGUGAAAUAUAUCAGACAAGGGGUUGGAGUGUGCAGGAUAACCAGAAAUACCCACCCUGGCUCUGGAGAAAACCUACCCUGCUUUUGAGCACCAGAAGUCCUAAACAUCUGGGGAUCAUUUGAAACUGUAGCUGCUCACUCACUACGGAAGACAUGAAAGAAGCAGUUAAUGUUUCUUUUCUGGAUCACAGGCUGACCUGCUUCCUCUCCAGCCCUUCCUUUGGAAGCAUCACCACUGAGUUAGAAGGGGUGAAAUGAAAUCAUCUACAGACACCAAAUGAGAUCAAGGAUGAUUGUGCUCUCAGACUGGAAGGUGUAACCUUUUGUGAAACAUUUAAAAUCAAAAUAAUCUGGACACAUAAAAGAAAGAGAUUUUUCACCUUCCUAGAAAGGAGAACAGAAGUGAUCGAUCACUGUUGGCAGGAACACUUUGCCUUUGUCAGCAGAACCUCUGGAGGAGCCCAGGUGGAGGACAAAGAAGCCUCAAGAGCUUGUAACAAAGAUGAUGAUGUGGGAAACCAUGUCCCCCUGUUCUCCCAGGUGCCAUCAAGACCAUUGCCAGACCUACCACGUCAGCAGUCCUGCAGACAGUGAGGGGUGACGUGGCUGUCUCUCCUUCACCAGCUCAGGCAUUCUCAGAGCUCUGGCUUUGCACCCUGUACUAUUCUGUACCUGUGUCUGGGGACACGGACAUCUCACCAGGCAAAGAAAAGGCAAAGGAGUCCAAGGCAUUGACAACUUCGAAGCUGUUUUUCAUGCUGCCCUCAUUGCCUCGAGUUUGAUGCUACACUGAAAGGCCAGUCUGGUUCUGACUCGGUCUGGAUGGAUGCCAAACCACAUUUUGGAGGGGUGAGAAAGGCCCAACAUCUGCUUCUGGUGUAACUGUUUGUAUCUUCACUCUAAGAAAAUUAGGUUUGAAAUAAUCUCAAAUUGUCUGACACCUGUAUCCUAUUAGAAGUGACACAUGGAAACACCUUCAGCGCACUGAAUUUAGCACCGUGUCAACAGUUUAAAGUUAACAGGGGAAAGAAAGGGUAAAACUCAUUGCUUCCCAGUUCCUGCUGACACAGAGCUUGUGUCAUUGCACGGGAUCACAGGGCAGGAUCGAUCCAUAAAUGGAAUGGGCUUUGAACCAGUAAUUGUCAUAUGGGCUGUGUCCCUGGCUCUGCUGCAAUUACCUUCAGUGUGCACCUCAAGGUGACUGGAGGAUUUUGAGCUCAGUGCAGGCUCACCUGAGGGCUGGGUGCCAGCACGUGGGACACGGACACAGCAAGUCCAGGGACCUUUUCUCCUCAAGUUCAGCUCAAGUAACUUGUAGCUUAUGGGACUAGUGAGCAGGUCACAUUUGUCCCAAGAAAGGGAGACAAAUUCCUGCAAGAGAAGACAAAUCCUGCCUGGUACAGAGGUUUAUUGGGUUUUAGAGAAAAACCAAAAGAAUGCUGAAGCCACACAACUGGUUUUGCUGCAUUGCCUAUGCAGGCGUUGAAAGGAUUGAGUUUAAACUCUCUUCCCAAACCUAAGUAACCUCCCACUUGCAAAUUCCUCACUUUUAGGAACAGAUCUGGUCGCCUUUUCCCAGAUAACAUACUGACAGUAAGACCCAAGUUAUUCUGAGAAGGACAUUUGUUAAAGUUCAUAAAACUUUAUGACUUCUAUAAAAUUUAUACUACCUAAAAAUACACUAUCCAUUACAAAGACAAAUGUCUACCCAUUCAUUUUUAAACAUGUUCCUUUGAGAACUUUUGAGAGACUGUUUUUUAAUGUUAGUCUGAGAGUAAGGGAAACUGUUUACUUUUUAGAGAGUACUGUUUUUCAGCAGAUCUGCAUCUUCAAGGAGCAAUGUCUGGAGUCAAGGAAACAGGACACACUGAAUUUUAACAUGAAUUAGGGCAUAGUAAUGAAAAAUAUGCUAAAAAUAGGAAAAUGGCAAUAAUGGAAAGACAGACCAAUGACACUGAUCCAUUUUCUACAGAGCAGAAAGCAAGCAGGACCCUGUAACAAGAAAGAGUGUCAAGUACAAGUUUAGGCUUUCUUUAACCCCAGGACAACCAAAUGAACUUCCUAAAUAGUGUGGCACUAGUGACACUAAAGAAAGGAUAAUACAUAAUAUUUUACAUGCACCCAUAAGCUGAAAAAUAUGGUGGAAAACUUGCAGCGCAAUGAAAUCUGUUUGAGGUGGAAUUUAUUAUAAGGGCGUUUUAGAGAAAUUUCAAGCCUACUUAUAUUUGUUUUUAAUAUAAAGUGGAAUCCCUUCUAAUUUACUGGUCAAACAAGACAUACACUGCUAAGGGCAAAGUCUCCUAAAAUGCUUUAAAACCUAGUAUUGACCAUUUUCUUACCUCAUGCAUGAAAACUGCCUUAUAACUUCAUCUGUAGAUGGCCCCAAUGCAUAAAAACACAACAGAGAAGAAGAAUUUCUGUCCAGUUGAAACAAGUUCCCUUCCAUUGGUACCACUUAAUGCUUUCUGAUUUAUGGAAAUGUUAUUCAGUUCAUCUUCCUAAAAAUUCACUGGAUUGGAAAAGUAAAAGGGUUGUUCACAUUAUACUUUCAGUGGAAAAUGUUUAUGACAAUAUGAUUAUGGAGAAAAGUGCAAGCAGACCAAAAACAUCAUAAUACAUAAACGGGCAAUUUCAACGCUGUCGGUCUGACUGGUUUGUUCUGAUUUGCUUUCUGAAAGGUUCAAAUUAAAACAACUGAUCCUAUUCACUGACUCAGGAAACUCCUGGUGUUGCUCAGGGCAAUGCAAGUUGAAUCCCAGUUGAGUUGGAAUGAGUUGGUUCCCAGAGUUCAUGUGGAGACUGACAGCUCUGCCAGCCCAGCGCGUGCUCAGUGUUCUCAGAACACGCUCAGCGAGCGUUUGUCUGGCAGAAGUUACUCAGCAAUUUUGAGCAGCUUGACCACAGUGUGUUAUCACCAACAGAGAUUUUUCUCCACUGAACAUGCAAAUGCAACUUUUUCUGAGAAAAUGUGGUCGUGUUGCUUUCAGACACAAUUUGAGGGCAGAUCGCUCAUAUGCUGACAAUAUGAGCAAAUAUUGAUGCUGGUGUUGUUUGGAGAGCAGCCCCAUAACAUGCUGCAUCUAUCAAACAAUUACCUUGUCAGUAGCUCUUUAAAGUCUGGAAACAUGGAUGUGCACAAGCAGCUCUGUUGAUCCAUGUCAUUCCCCACACCAAUAACUUGCAGCUGGAAACCAACAACCUAAUUUGUACCUUCUUGGGCUAUGAGAUGUUCUGACAAUUUAUUGUGCACAGGAAAUCCAGACUUUGGAAAAUAGUUUUUGCUGAUUCUCUGUGCUUCUGGUAGAUUUUUAUUGCACUCUAAGCCAGGGAUUGCAUCGCUUAGCCCAUAAUGAUGAAAUUAUUCUGAAUUUGGUUAUUGGUUUGUGCUGAAGCAGGACUGAACUUCAGUUCAGUACCUAUUAUUCCUGACAUAGAAGGGCUAGUUUCUUAUUAUGGUCAUAUAGAAAAUCUUCCUCAUACUCACCACAAUGAAGUAAUUAAAUAGAUGAGCAAGGGAAAUCCAUUGGUUACAUGGAACUUAUUCCUUCAUUUCUAUUCUCGCUUUUUUUAAAUGACAGCUGUUUGGAACAACGAUCCUGCUCCUCAGUAACAAAACAGCCAACGUUAACUUGUCACUCUAGUAGGAAAAACAACAGCCAAAAUGCUGGGAACCACAUCAUGUCAUUUGCUCUGUUAUGGAGUGUUGGCAUAGCAACUGUGAAGUUGCCACUUUUUACAGCUUUUGAGGAUUUAUGAAGAAAACCCCCACUAGUGACUUGUCCAAAUUUUGAUAACAGAAAGAACAGCAGACGUAAGGGGGCAUUAUCUUAUUUUUACAAGAGUGUAAAGGAACACAGACCCAGGGCUCUGUCACUCCUAGUAACAGUGGGGGUUUCCAGUGUUGCUAAAUUCACUAAAUUAAGUUUAGAUGUGCUUUCCAAUUGAAGCAGUUACAAACUGCUCCAGAGCCAUCCCUGCCUGCAGCAGCUUGUUGGAUAGUACCUGGAGAUAAUGGAUUGACACUGUUACUGACUUGGCCAAGAGCUCAAGGUCAUUCCCCCUCCCCGUGCCAGUGAUGUACAGCAGUGCUCGGCUCCACUGAUGGGCUCAUCCUUCUCAGAGGCACUGACCAAUGUGAGCAGCUGCCUGAGGGGCUGUUUGAUCUUUCCACUGCUUUGCAGGCAACACCACACUGCUCAGGGGGAAAAAAAAAGAACAGAAAAAGGAAAAAGCCCACUAUUAGAAAAGAUUUCUCAGCAAACGUAGCCGAGCCGUGCCCGACCUCCGUAUCUUCGCUUGUUCCCCAAAGGCAGCACAUGUAAGAUAUUUCCUGUCUUUCAUGUUACUGACUGGAAUGCAUCAUGAAGCCCAAAUUUGCAACCUGCUGUCUGUUUUAGUCAUUAAGCAUGACUUUCUUUGUCUCCUGAUGUGAGCUUAGGCGAACUGCUCACUGUUGCACAAUUUUUUCAAUAUUCCCCCCCUCUCCUAGACAAAUAAAACAAAAAAACCCAGCCAGGCCAAAAGCUGAAAUUCAGUCAUCAGCUGAGGCUGCUGUGUCUUAAAGUAUCUUAUUCCCACAUCAGCACAUCCCACCCUGCUCUAGACCACCAAAACAUUAGUCACAGCAGCCUCCACCUGUUAUUCAGGGGCCAAAAUUCAAAAGUUAAUGAACAACCAUUAAAAGCAGCCAUUAGAUUUCAAAAGAGCUUAUCUGACAACCUGAAAGGUGGAGUUCACUGGCUGCAGCUUGGUGCUACAUUCACUCAUCUGUCAGUAACAUCAAGCAUUGGGAUCUUUAUAUUAUUUUUUACAAUUACAUCCACUCUGCAGAGACACACCAUAAGGUAUUCAACUACUCUUUGCCAGCUGCUCUAUCUUGGAAUACUAUUCACAAAACAAACAGUUACUUGGUAUUUCAACCUCUGACCAUCUUGAAAAUCAACUGAAGACAACUUAGAAGGACAAUAAAAUAUACACAGCAUGUAAAAUGCAAGUCUGCUGUGUUUUGAUGCCCACAAGUGGCACACAAGUACUGGUUAUGACUUUGCUCCACUAAUGUUAUAUAUAUAUAUUGUCAAUAUAUGUGUUUAAAAUAAAAGAAACUCUUAAAUCCUUGA